AUGGCCUCGCCCUCGCCGCUGGUGGAUUUCCCCCAGCACCUCCUGGAGGAGAUCUUCCUCCGGCUGCCCGCUGCGGAGGACCUCGCCCGCGCCUCCGCCACCUGCGUCACCUUCCGCCGCCUCGUCACCGACCGACACUUCCUCCGCCGCUUCCGCCGCCUCCACCCCCCGCCAUUCCUCGCCUUUUUCGACUCCCACAGGCUCCAUCCCGCCCUUCCGCCCCACCCCUCCGCGCCCGCCGCACGGGCGCUCGCCCUCGCCGCCGACUUCUCUUUCUCUUUCGUCCCAUCACCCCACUGCCGCCGGGCCGGCCGUUGGGCCGUUCAGGACAUCCGCGACGGCCGCGUCCUCCUCCGCCACACCCCCUUCGCGGACCUCGCUGUGUGCGACCCCUUACACCGGCGAUACAUCCUGCUUCCCCCAUUACCUGAAGACUUGGCCGCUUUGGUGGCGCACCCAUACGUGGUAUUCAACCCCUGGUGCCAGCCUUUCCUGGUCCCCCUCGAUGAGGACGCCGCGACCACAUUCCGAGUGAUCUGGGUGGUACAUUGUGAAACUAUGGCCGCCGCCAUUGUCUUCUCUUCGAGCACUGGACAGUGGCAAACCGCGGGCGAUUUGACCAGAUUGAUCUCAGCGACUGGGUAUACGCUUCUCAGGCGCCAUUACGCUUACCACUGCUUCUACUGGGAACUCAACCCAAUUAACAAGUUGCUCAUGCUCGACACCCGGACCAUGGAGUUCUCCUUUGCUGACCUCCCACCUGGAGAAUGGGCUUUGAAUAUAGCCAUUGUGGAGGCAGAAGGCAGGCUGGGCAUGUUUGGUAUCUUUCAUGAAACUGCAGGUGAUCUCUGUUAUUACGUCAAGGGAAACAAAGGUGAGAGUUCUCAGUGGCAGAUCGACAAGACAAUCUCAAUAGGUUCUGGGCACCGGCAUUAUAUCAAAGCUGCAUCCAAGAGGUACUUGCUCCUCGGAAAGUAUGUAGUCCGGCGGAAUGUAUCACCAUCGGUGAGUGAUUCUACUAGCAUUUUGCCACCUCUGGAUAUGCCAGGCGAGGAAUGCAUUUCAAUAGAUAUCAAGACGCUGCAGCUUGAGAGGGUUUGUGUCAGAUCUUUCGGGUUUGGUAGGUACGGAAUGCACAUAUAUACCAACUUCCCACCAUCGUUGCUGUCUGCACCAACAAUAUGA
rnacentral:rRNA from 1 species